rnacentral:rRNA from 1 species
GAUGAACGCUAGCGGCAGGCCUAACACAUGCAAGUCGAGGGGCCGCAUAAAACAAGCUUGCUUGUGUGGUGGCGACCGGCGCACGAGUGAGUAACACGUAUGCAACCUGCCCAUGACAGUGGGAUAACCCGUCGAAAGCCGGCCUAGUACCGCAUGAUGAGCAUUUCUCGCAUGGGAGAUGUUUUAAAGAUUAAUGGGUCAUGGAUGGGCAUGCGCUCCAUUAGGUAGUUGGCGGGGCAACGGCCCACCAAGCCUGCGAUGGAUAUGGGUUCUGAGGUGAAGGGACCCCACACUGGUACUGAGACACGGACCAGACGCCUCGGGGAGGCAGCAGUGAGAAAUAUUGGUCAACGGGCGAGAGCCUGAACCAGCCAAAUCGCGUGAAGGAUGAAGGGAUUAUGUAUUGUAAACUUCUUUUGCAGGGGAAUAAAGUGCAUCACGUGUGGUGUUUUGUAGGUACCCUGGGAAUAAGGAUCGGCUAACUCCGUGCCAGCCGCCGCCGUAACAC